AAUCCAUAGGUUAAUGAGGCGAACCGGGGGAACUGAAACAUCUAAGUACCCCGAGGAAAAGAAAUCAACCGAGAUUCCCCCAGUAGCGGCGAGCGAACGGGGAGGAGCCCAGAGCCUGAAUCAGCAUGUGUGUUAGUGGAAGCGUCUGGAAAGGCGCGCGAUACAGGGUGACAGCCCCGUACACAAAAGCGCAUGUGCUGUGAGCUCGAUGAGUAGGGCGGGACACGUGGUAUCCUGUCUGAAUAUGGGGGGACCAUCCUCCAAGGCUAAAUACUCCUGACUGACCGAUAGUGAACCAGUACCGUGAGGGAAAGGCGAAAAGAACCCCGGCGAGGGGAGUGAAAAAGAACCUGAAACCGUGUACGUACAAGCAGUGGGAGCACCCUUUGGGUGUGACUGCGUACCUUUUGUAUAAUGGGUCAGCGACUUAUAUUCUGUAGCAAGGUUAACCGAAUAGGGGAGCCGGAGGGAAACCGAGUCUUAACCGGGCGUUAAGUUGCAGGGUAUAGACCCGAAACCCGGUGAUCUAGCCAUGGGCAGGUUGAAGGUUGGGUAACACUAACUGGAGGACCGAACCGACUAAUGUUGAAAAAUUAGCGGAUGACCUGUGGCUGGGGGUGAAAGGCCAAUCAAACCGGGAGAUAGCUGGUUCUCCCCGAAAGCUAUUUAGGUAGCGCCUCGUGAAUUCAUCUCCGGGGGUAGAGCACUGUUUCGGCUAGGGGGCCAUCCCGGCUUACCAACCCGAUGCAAACUGCGAAUACCGGAGAAUGUUAUCACGGGAGACACACGGCGGGUGCUAACGUCCGUCGUGAAGAGGGAAACAACCCAGACCGCCAGCUAAGGUCCCAAAGUCAUGGUUAAGUGGGAAACGAUGUGGGAAGGCCCAGACAGCCAGGAUGUUGGCUUAGAAGCAGCCAUCAUUUAAAGAAAGCGUAAUAGCUCACUGGUCGAGUCGGCCUGCGCGGAAGAUGUAACGGGGCUAAACCAUGCACCG
rnacentral:rRNA from 2 species